UACCAUUAAAAGUUUAUUGUUUUAUUUCAAUAUUCAGGAACAGUGUACACUUUCCAUUCAGCCAUCGUCACAGCACGUGCUGUGUGGGUGCGGCCACGUAUGGAUCGCAGAGCCGACCUCAGCUCAGCGACGCAGAGUGCUUCUGCUGAAAAAUUUGGAGGUUUGUGUCUAGAGUUUUGUUCUUUGUAACCCUCUCAUCAUCGAGGCUAUAUAUUAAUAGACAUGAUAUUAAGCCCACACGAAACAUUCAGAAUUAGAAUUGGAUUAAGAAGACGCGUUUUGGCAUCACGCUGACCAUUCCUCAUCUUCGUCCUCGGGGAGGGCGAUGCCAGCGUGGGACUCUUUGGAAGGCCUAUCACGGGUGCACGCCUGUGCCUACUCGCUAUGACGCGUCUUCUGGGAGGAGGUGGAUGAGCCGGUUAUCUUCUCAGGGAGGGUUAGUGCUGGCCACUGUGCACCGCCGCUGCCAGCACACCCGGUCACAGCCAGUGUCUAUGGGCGACUGGAGCGGCUGCGAGGCUGUCCAGAGGACUCCUACCCUUCUGCUCUGAGUGUGCAA
rnacentral:antisense_RNA from 1 species